GACCUCAGUUGGUGUCAAGGUUUCAAAAGCCCAUGCAAUACGUCACACAUUCCUGACUCAGAAUUCUUGCCCACCAUGUAAAGGGGUUGCACGUUACAAGGAGCCUGGAAGAAACUGCCAGUGCACACUCUGAAGGACUUGUGUGGAACGCUUGGUGUUACGGGGAGACUGCUCGUAUAGAAAAGAGUUCAAACACAGUCCAUGGUGACCAUGAACAUGCUGAACUGGAUGGAGAUGAUACGACAAUUGGAAAAACCUGACUAUCCUCCUGCUACUCUUCCACAAUGCUGACCAACUACUUCCUUGCCUGCCUGGAUCAUCCCGUUUCCGGACACUGGACACCAUCUCCAGCAUAGUUACGUUAACUGGAUUUCCUCUGCUAUUUGCUUUUGAACCCACCUGGGCUCCCUCAGUGGAUGUGUCUAGUCUCUGGGUCCUGGCCUCAUUCAAUCUGG